AGUGAACGCUGGCGGUAGGCCUAACACAUGCAAGUCGAACGGCAGCACAGUAAGAGCUUGCUCUUACGGGUGGCGAGUGGCGGAAGGGUGAGGAAUAUAACGGAAUCUACUUUUUCGUGGGGGAUCACGUAGGGAAACUUACGCUAAUACAGCAUACGCUCUACGGGUGAAAGCAGGGGAUAUUCGGACCUUGCGCGAUUGAAUGAGCCGAUGUCGGAUUAGCUAGUUGGCGGGGUAAAGGCCCACCAAGGCGGCGAUACGUAGCUGGUCUGAGAGGAUGGUCGGCCACAUUGGAGCGGGGACACGGUCCAGACGCCUGCGGGAGGCAGCAGUGGGGAAUAUUAGACAAUAGUCGCGAACCUGAUCCAGCGAUACCGCGUGGGUGGAGGAGGCCUUCGGGUUGUGAAGCCCUUUUGUUGGGAGAGAAAAGCAGCAGGUUAAUACCCCGCUGUUCUGACGGUACCCAAAGAAUAAGCACCGGCUAACUUCGUG
rnacentral:rRNA from 1 species